GAUAUGCAACAGGCAAAAUACUCUUGAAUCGGUCGAUGAUCCAGAUAUGAAUCCGAAGGCGAAUUAAAUUGAAGACGAUAUGUUGAAGCAUUAACCACAGUUGGCAAGAAAUAUUGGGUUUGGAGCAUUUUCACACAAAGAUGGAACCUGCUUAGCUCUCAUAAAGAUAAGACUAGAUGUAAACUGAAGACGCCACUUGUCAGUUGCACUGGAUAUAUAUUUUAGAAGACACUUUCUUGUAAAAUUCCACGCUUAGGUUGGAUGCUACAGCUACCUAGAUAGAGAUUGCUUAAAUUGGAAACGCAAUAAGGAACACGCAUGUAGAUGAA